rnacentral:rRNA from 1 species
CCUACGGGGGGCAGCAGUGGGGAAUAUUGCGCAAUGGGCGAAAGCCUGACGCAGCGACGCCGCGUGAGGGAUGAAGGUCUUCGGAUCGUAAACCUCUGUCAGCAGGGAAGAACGGUCACUGUGCUAAUCAGCAGUGAAUUGACGGUACCUGCAAAGGAAGCACCGGCUAACUCCGUGCCAGCAGCCGCGGUACUACGGAGGGUGCGAGCGUUAAUCGGAAUUACUGGGCGUAAAGCGCUCGUAGGCGGUAUGUCAAGUCAAGGGUGAAAUCCCCGCGCUCAACGUGGGAACUGCCUUUGAAACUGGCAGACUGGAGUGUGUGAGAGGAUGGUGGAAUUCCAGGUGUAGGGGUGAAAUCCGUAGAUAUCUGGAGGAACAUCAGUGGCGAAGGCGACUAUCUGGCACAUAACUGACGCUGAGGAGCGAAAGCGUGGGUAGCAAACAGGAUUAGAUACCCUUGUAGUC